rnacentral:tRNA from 2 species
GCGCGGGUGGUGGAAUUGGUAGACACGCUACCUUGAGGUGGUAGUGCCCACAAAGCGUGAAGGUUCGAGUCCUUUCCCGCGCACCA